CAGCAGCCACGGUAAUACGAAGGGUGCAAGCGUUAAUCGAAAUUAUUGGGCGUAAAGGGUGCGUAGGCGGUUGUUUAAGUCUGUUGUGAAAUCCCGGGGCUCAACCUGGGAAUGGCAAUGGAAACUGGACGGCUAGAGUGUGUCAGAGGAUGGUGGAAUUCCCGGUGUAGCGGUGAAAUGCGUAGAGAUCGGAAGGAACAUCUGUGGCGAAGGCGACUAUCUGGGCCAACACUGACACUGAGGCACGAAAGCGUGGGGAGCAAACAGGAUUAGAUACCCGCGUAGUCCCUGUCUCUUAUAC
rnacentral:rRNA from 1 species